AAUUUUGGACAAUGGGGGCAACCCUGAUCCAGCCAUUCCGCGUGAGUGAAGAAGGCCUUCGGGUUGUAAAGCUCUUUUGUCCGGAACGAAACGGUGGAUGUGAAUAGCGUCCACUACUGACGGUACCGGAAGAAUAAGCACCGGCUAACUACGUGCCAGCAGCCGCGGUAAUACGUAGGUGACCAGCGUUGUCCGGAUUUACUGGGCGUAAAGAGCGCGCAGGCGGUCGUUCAAGUCGAGUGUGAAAGCCCCCGGCUCAACUGGGGAGGGUCAUUCGAUACUGAUCGACUUGAAGGCAGGAGAGGGAAGCGGAAUUCCCGGUGUAGUGGUGAAAUGCGUAGAUAUCGGGAGGAACACCAGUGGCGAAGGCGGCUUCCUGGCCUGUUCUUGACGCUGAGGCGCGAAAGCUAGGGGAGCAAAC
rnacentral:rRNA from 1 species